GAACCGCUAGAACCGGAACCGCCAGAACCGGAACCGGCUCGCAGUUCUGGACCGGUUCUGGCGGUUCCAAACGGUUCUGCCGGUUCCCAACGGGCAUUUUUCAAAAACAAUUUUUUUUUAAAAAUUAUUUCCAAACGGCUCUUUGCAAAAAGUAGCCGUUUGGAAGUUUAAAAAAUAGCCAUUUGGCCCCCAAACUUUAUUUAA
rnacentral:lncRNA from 1 species